rnacentral:rRNA from 1 species
GACGAACGCUGGCGGCGUGCUUAACACAUGCAAGUCGAACGGAAAGGCCCUGCUUUUGUGGGGUGCUCGAGUGGCGAACGGGUGAGUAACACGUGAGUAACCUGCCCUUGACUUUGGGUUAACUUCAGGAAACUGGGGCUAAUACCGGAUAGGAGCUCCUGCUGCAUGGUGGGGGUUGGAAAGUUUCGGCGGUUGGGGAUGGACUCGCGGCUUAUCAGCUUGUUGGUGGGGUAGUGGCUUACCAAGGCUUUGACGGGUAGCCGGCCUGAGAGGGUGACCGGCCACAUUGGGACUGAGAUACGGCCCAGACUCCUACGGGAGGCAGCAGUGGGGAAUAUUGCACAAUGGGCGGAAGCCUGAUGCAGCAACGCCGCGUGCGGGAGGACGGCCUUCGGGUUGUAAACCGCUUUCGCCUGUGACGAAGCGUGAGUGACGGUAAUGGGUAAAGAAGCACCGGCUAACUACGU